rnacentral:rRNA from 1 species
UACGUAGGUGGCAAGCGUUGUUCGGAAUUACUGGGCGUAAAGCGCGCGUAGGCGGCUCUUCAAGUCAGGCGUGAAAGCCCCGGGCUUAACUCGGGAACUGCGCUUGAUACUGUCGAGCUAGAGUGUGGAAGGGGCGAUUGGAAUUCCGUGUGUAGCGGUGAAAUGCGUAGAUAUCAGGAGGAAUACCGAUGGCGAAGGCAGGUCUCUGGGCUGACACUGACGCUCAUGCACGAAAGCGUGGGGAGCAAACAGG